rnacentral:rRNA from 1 species
UAGCGGAGGGUGCGAGCGUUGUCCGGAAUUAUGCUGGGCGUAAAGCGCACGUUAGGUGGUUUACUAAGCCAGCUGUGAAAUCCCCGGGCUCAACCUGGGCACUGCAGUUGGAAUGGUAAGCUAGAGUAGGGUAGAGGGGUGUGGAAUUCCAGGUGUAGCGGUGAAAUGCGUAGAUAUCUGGAGGAACAUCAGUGGCGAAGGCGACACCUGGACUCAUACUGACACUGGAGGUGACGAAAGCCGUGGGGAGCAAACAGG